rnacentral:lncRNA from 1 species
AUGCAUUCUUUUAACAAGAGUUUUGUCAGAAAAAUAAAUGUACGGAAGCGGAUAAGGGCCAUUUUACAGAUAAAACAAAUUUAUAAUUUAUUGAAUCAAGUGCCACAUGGAUCGAAUUUACUUGAUUUCCUGCAUGUCUUCGACAAGGUAUUUGUAUAAAUAAUAUUUUUGUGAGUUUGUACUGACUGAUUUGAUUUAAACUUACUGUUUUUUCUCAUUGAAGAUGACAACUUGAGCCGGUUGUGUCUCGUCAGAGUGUCUGGUGCCCAUUAACUGUAUCUACUAAUGACUGAUUAGCGCUUCCAAAUGAAUGUAAGUUUACGUCAAAAUAGAAUGUACAAUUUUAAACUGUGAAAUUCUUUGAAUUUCCGUAUACUUAAUUACCUUUAAGAAAAAGAGUAAAUAUAAUUUUUCUCUAAGCAGACUGUAUAAGACUGAAUGAAAGUUUUUAAAGGAAGUUUUAGAUAAAACUAUAAUUGUGAUAAAUAGCACCAUAUUACUCAAUAAUAAGAUAUGGAACGACACUAUGCAUUUUAUUUUACAGUUAGACACGUUGAUCCUGUGUGACAGAUAUGUUGUAGAGGGAAGAUUGCGGUACUGCUUAUAACGAAAUUGUUUGAACACGUCCAUUGAAAAGAUAGGCGGUGCACAUUAUAUUAAAUCUAGUUAUGCAUGCUGACUCUGUGUGACUGACAUGCUGAAGUCGGAAAAUCAGAUAGACGAGUGUGUUUGAGUACAUUGUUUACAAUAUGUCCCUCUGAACGAUUCGCACAAUGCUAUAAAAUUAACUAGCAAUUGACAAAGAACUAUGGAAGAGUGUCCUAUUUGCAAAGGGCAAUUGGAAGAUGGACAACCAGUUGUAUGUCUCCGUAAGAAGGGGAGCAACGGAAUCAAUAAUGCAAGCAUAGCAAGAGGAACUAACAUAUUUACAUGUAUAGGACAAUAUGUACACGUGCAGUGUCGCCGUGACUAUAUACAUACGAAACUCUUUGACAGACAGUGAUAUAAAUAAUAAUCAUGUUACAUCUAAGUCUUUAUGUUCAGAAGAUUCAUUUGAUUUUAAAACAAAAUGUCUUUUUUGUACAAAAAAUGCUAAAGUAAGUGCGAACAAACGUGGGUAUGAUGUUUUUCCUGUUCGUAGUUUCGAAUUUCAGAAAACUGUACACAAAUUAUGUAAUGAAAGAAAAGACGAGUGGGCAGUCAACGUAUUAAGCAGACUUUCCCUUGCGAUAGACCUUCCAGCAGCUGAAGCAGUUUACCAUCAGACGUGCAAUGUCAACUUCAGGACAGGUGGGCAAAUUCCUAAAUGUUUUCAAGACACAGAAGCAGCCACAGUCAAGAAAAGCCCAAUAAGGCGUGGAAAUGAAGAGCAGGCAUAUGCCUUUGCUGCAGUAAUUGAUUUUAUUGAAAAUGCAGAUGACGCUGUAGCUGUUAACGAUUUGGUAAAGGUGAUGUAAGAUAUAUGUGGUGAUAAGGCAUACGGCAUGAAAGCAAAAAUACUGGAACACUUUGGGGACUCUAUCUUAAUAAGCACGUUAGAUGGUAAAUGUGAUAUUGUGAGUCUGAAACAGACUGCAGCCUCUAUCAUGCAUAAAUUUUACAAGCGUUUCAAAUCUGUGUCUGCUGAUGAAGAAAAGAAGAUUAUCAUCGCCACUGCUGCUAAACUAAUAAAACACGAUAUUUCAAUGAUGGAAUCAUCAAAGACAUUUUAUCCGUCUUUUUCAGCAGUAUCAUCCGUUGAAGAAAAUACAAAAUUUUCUUCCUGUUAGCUUAUAAAUCUUCAUGGAGAAAAUAGUUGGUGGUAAGGAUAACAGUAUAAAAACCGCAGCGAUUGGUCAAGCAAUUGUACAAGCAUGCAGACCCAAAGGAAUUAUAGCUCCUCUCCAGGUCGGUCUAGGAAUACAACUCCAUCACCAUUUUGGAUCUAAAUUCUUGAUUGAUACAUUAAGUAGUUUGGGGUUUAGCUCUUCUUACUGGGAAGUUCAAAAGUUUGAAUCCAACGCAGCUGCUGCAUUAAACACGUCUUUGCCUAGUUUUUUCCCGGGCUGUUUUCUCCAGUUUGUAGCUGAUAAUGUCGACCACAAUAUCAGAGCAUUAGAUGGUCAUAACACA